GGCAUUGUAGUAAGCAUUGCUACCUUCCCAGCAGUAAAGGUGGGUUCAAUUCCCAGCCAAUGCCA
rnacentral:tRNA from 1 species